rnacentral:rRNA from 1 species
GAUCUGGCUCAGGACGAACGCUGGCGGCGCGCCUAACACAUGCAAGUCGAACGAGAGAUGAAGAGCUUGCUCUUCAAAUCGAGUGGCGAACGGGUGAGUAACGCGUGAGGAACCUGCCUCAAAGAGGGGGACAACAGUUGCAAACGACUGCUAAUACUGCAUAAGCCCACGGCUCGGCAUCGAGCAGAGGGAAAAGGAGCAAUCCGCUUUGAGAUGGCCUCGCGUCCG